CCUACGGGAGGCAGCAGUCGGGAAUAUUGCGCAAUGGAGGAAACUCUGACGCAGUGACGCCGCGUAUAGGAUGAAGUAUUUCGGUAUGUAAACUUCUAUCAGCAGGGAAGAAAAUGACGGUACCUGACUAAGAAGCCCCGGCUAACUACGUGCCAGCAGCCGCGGUAAUACGUAGGGGGCAAGCGUUAUCCGGAUUUACUGGGUGUAAAGGGAGCGUAGACGGCGAUGCAAGCCAGAUGUGAAAGCCCGGGGCUCAACCCCGGGACUGCAUUUGGAACUGUGUGGCUGGAGUGUCGGAGAGGCAA
rnacentral:rRNA from 1 species